rnacentral:rRNA from 1 species
CCUACGGGAGGCAGCAGUGAGGAAUAUUGGUCAAUGGCCGGAAGGCUGAACCAGCCAUGCCGCGUGAAGGUCAGUGCCCUAUGGGCGUUAAACUUCUUUUGUGCGGGAGCAAUAAUGGUCACGUGUGGCCAGACGAGAGUACCGUACGAAUAAGCAUCGGCUAACUCCGUGCCAGCAGCCGCGGUAAUACGGGGGAUGCAAGCGUUAUCCGGAUUUAUUGGGUUUAAAGGGGGCGUAGGCUGUGAGGUAAGGCAGCGGUGAAAUGCCCCCGCUCAACGGGGUGAAGUGCCAUUGAUACUGCCUGGCUGGAAUGCGGAUGCCGUGGGAGGAAUGUGUGGUGUAGCGGUGAAAUGCAUAGAUAUCACACAGAACACCGAUUGCGAAGGCAUCUCACGAAUCCGCGAUUGACGCUGAUGCACGAAAGCGUGGGUAUCAAACAGGAUUAGAUACCCCGGUAGUC